ensembl:miRNA mir125c microRNA 125b-2
UGCCCUCCUCUUGUUCCCUGAGACCCUAACUCGUGAGUUCUUCUUUCAAAAUCACGGGUCAGGAGCUUGGGAGACAGGUGGAGGGCUUUA